AGAGUUUGAUCCUGGCUCAGAGUGAACGCUGGCGGCGUGCUUAACACAUGCAAGUCGAACGAGAACAGAAGAGAGCUUGCUCUCUUGCUGCUAAGUGGCGCACGGGUGAGUAAUAUAUAGGUAAUAUGCCUCUUACUAAGGGAUAAUUGUUGGAAACGACUUGUAAUACCUUAUAUGCCUUUUGAACAUAAGUUCGUAAAGGGAAUGAUUUAUCGGUAAGAGAUUAGCCUGUACGGUAUCAGAUAGUUGGUGGGGUAAUGGCCUACCAAGUCUAUGACACCUAACUGGUUUGAGAGGAUGAUCAGUCACACUGGAACUGAGACACGGUCCAGACUCCUACGGGAGGCAGCAGUGGGGAAUAUUGCACAAUGGACGAAAGUCUGAUGCAGCAACGCCGCGUGGAGGAUGACACAUUUCGGUGCGUAAACUCCUUUUAUAUGAGAAGAUAAUGACGGUAUCAUAUGAAUAAGCACCGGCUAACUCCGUGCUAGCAGCCGCGGUAAUACGGGGGGUGCAAGCGUUACUCGGAAUCACUGGGCGUAAAGAGCAUGUAGGCGGGUGAAUAAGUUGGAAGUGAAAUCCUAUAGCUUAACUAUAGAACUGCUUCCAAAACUGUUCACCUAGAGUAUGGGAGAGGUAGAUGGAAUUUCUGGUGUAGGGGUAAAAUCCGUAGAGAUCAGAAGGAAUACCGAUUGCGAAGGCGAUCUACUGGAACAUUACUGACGCUCAGAUGCGAAAGCGUGGGGAGCAAACAGGAUUAGAUACCCUGGUAGUCCACGCCCUAAACGAUGUACACUAGUUGUUGCUAUACUAGAUAUGGCAGUAAUGCAGUUA
rnacentral:rRNA from 1 species